UACGUAGGGGGCAAGCGUUGUCCGGAAUCAUUGGGCGUAAAGAGCGUGUAGGCGGCUUGGUAAGUCCGCUGUGAAAGUCCAGGGCUCAACCCUGGAAUGCCGGUGGAAACUGUCGGGCUAGAGUCCGGAAGAGGCGAGUGGAAUUCCUGGUGUAGCGGUGAAAUGCGCAGAUAUCAGGAGGAACACCAAUGGCGAAGGCAGCUCGCUGGGACGGUACUGACGCUGAGACGCGAAAGCGUGGGGAGCAAACAGG
rnacentral:rRNA from 1 species